AGUAGAGUGACAACUUUUUUUCUAUUCCAAUUAAAGCUGUGCAUCUCGAGUGUGUGCAGAUGUCACAAAUGGAGUGAAACAACUUCUGUUGAAGUUUUCUUUGACAUUAGUUUUGCUUCAACGUUUUAGUAGGUAGGGCUCUGAACUGGAUGCUCGAAGCGUGGGAUCUGUUUCUGUUUACUUCACUUCCAACAGUGUGGUCUCAGGUAAUAUAAUAUGUUUGUUACUUGGUUUGCUGAUCUAUGUGUUGGAAGCAAUGCUCGUCGCAGGAAGAUUGACUACAUAGCCUGCUUUCAUAGCUUGGGUGUAUUUAUCCCGUGCCUUAAUAGUUGAUACUGCCAGUGGUUUACUCCUGUGGAGUAAAGGUAAGCACGUUUUAGUUUUCUGGAGUAUUAUAUUGUACAUUGGAGGUAGACAUUUAAGACUGCUGGGGGUGGAGUGGGGAGACUCAUAUUACUGGCAGCGUUUGGCCAAUAAUCAAGGUGAUCGUUUUAAGUAUUGGGUCAUGUUCUUUAAGCUCCUGCUUAUUUAUUUAGACUUGAAACUGCCACAAAGCCCAAACAGCCAGGAAAUCCAGUGCCUGUCUCCCUACCCCCCCAAGCCUUCUAAGAAAGAUAGAUGAAAGAACUAUCAGCCAAUAUACUCAGAGAGCAACCAACAGACAGUGUUGUGGAAUGAAUCUUCUGCAAUUUUUCUCUUACUAUUGUUAGAAAGUAGUGUUAUUUUAAAGCACUGCAAGAUUCCAAAUUUCCAUCAAAAUUUUUUUCUGAGUUUAGUGUUGGGAUUUAAAUUGAUUUCUAAUAGAAAACUUGACAGAAUUAUGAGUGUGUAGUAAUCUCAGUUAACCAGAACCUUAACCUCUAGGUUAAGGAAACCUCAUUCCUUAACCUCUAGGUAGAUGAGAGUUUACCUUCAUGUUAAUGUGAAAAUAGAAGAUGUCAUUCCUGUGUGGAAAUGAAAUGAAGACAAGGGAAGAAUUGGGGUUGAACAUUGACAGUUUGUUCAAAAACUAUCAUGUUUAAUCUAUUAGUUAUGGUUCAACUCAGCUUUUUUAGUCAUUAGGUUAAUUCAGAGUAUGAAGAAAUGAAAUUAAUGUAUUAGAGGAAUUACUCUUACUGAAAAGUUUAUCAGGCUGUUUCCAAAGGUAUUUUUUAUACAGAUUCUAAAAAGACACCAUGUGAUAGUAUCUACUUGCAAAACAUAAACCCCUCCUUGCCAUUUUACGUAAUUACUGACCUAAUUUUAAAGUAAAUCUGUAAUUUUAAGGAAAAAUACUCCUUUCUUAUCUCUUGGUGAGAUUUCGUUAUACUUACAUUUCAGGAUUUUAAAAGAAUAAUCAUAAUGAUAAAAUGCCAGAAAUUCGUUGACGUGAGGGUUAGUGGUAUUCUUGAGUAACACUCCUCUGAAAGGUGACAGUGAUUGGCCGGUUAUGUUACGUACUUAUGUGUAUCAGAUUGACUUUCUGUUAUGUUUUUAAACUGUCAGAAUUUGUUAUGAAGCCACAUAUAGAAGAUCAUGAGUUGUUGGGAAGUUUUGAAAAGUUUCGGAAUACUUUUACAAAAUUGGUGAAAAAAACGUAACAGCGUUUAUCAUUUUACCUUGAGUAAGGUGUUUCACAGUGAAGAUUUGUUAGAAGCAUCUUUUUCUUUUAAUAAAAAAUACUUCAUGUUGACUCGGGAGUGUUAAGACUAGUGAUCUCGGUAGUUCUUGUAUCAGCCGGCACUGCCUCAUCCGUAUUGGCUUUGAUACUUUGAAUUUACUCCGUAUGUAGACUCCAGACCAGGUCAUCAGUAUGAUUUUGGAACUACGUUUUAUUUAAGAGUCUUAGCCUAAUGUCCAGUCUCUAUGUUUUUUACAUGGGAUGUUCAAAUUUUCUGGGUUAGAGUCUUUAGCAUGAAAAAUAAUCCUAGGAUCCACUGAUCUAAAACUCAUUCUAGCUUUUCUCCCUUAAUAUUGGAAGCUGCAUUCAGCCCAUGCAGAUGAAGCAAAAUUACUUUUGGCAUUCCCAUUGUGGCCCAGCGGUUAACAAACCCAACUAGUAUCCAUGAGGAUGCUGGUCGAUCGCUAGCCUCGCUCAGUGGGUUGAGGAUCCACGGUUUCGUGAGCUGUGGUGUUGGUCGCAGAUGUGGUUCAGAUCUGGAGUUGCCAUGGCUGUGUUGCUGGCCUAUGCCGCGGCUCAUGGCAGCAUCAGAUCCUUUAACCCACUGAGCGAGGCCAUGGAUCAAACCUGCAUCCUCAUGGAUACUGGCUGGGUUCAUAACCCGCUGAGCCGCAGCAGGAACUCCCAAGACAUUUUCUUUUGUGUUACACGUUUAUGUCUUGGUGUCCCUACUGAAUGAAAUUGGGGUGGAUUUUAUGUGUUCCUUUAGUAAAAAUGGAAUGGAUGCAGUUCAUAGUAUCCCUGCCUGUCCGGUUAUCAGCUGUGCAGCACCAUUCCUUAUUAGAGCAGAAGAAAAAGUGCUUUGGGGCUGCCAGAUUUAAUGCAUUUGUC
rnacentral:lncRNA from 1 species